rnacentral:rRNA from 1 species
AUUGAACGCUGGCGGCAUGCUUUACACAUGCAAGUCGAACGGCAGCGCGGGCUUCGGCCUGGCGGCGAGUGGCGAACGGGUGAGUAAUGCAUCGGAACGUGCCCCGCAGUGGGGGAUAGCACGGCGAAAGCCGGAUUAAUACCGCAUACGACCUGCGGGUGAAAGCGGGGGACCGAAAGGCCUCGCGCUAUUGGAGCGGCCGAUGUCGGAUUUGCUAGUUGGUGGGGUAAAGGCUUACCAAGGCGACGAUCCGUAGCUGGUCUGAGUGGACGACCAGCCACACUGGGACUGAGACACGGCCCAGACGCCUACGGGAGGCAGCAGUGGGGAAUUUUGGACAAAGGGGGCAACCCUGAUCCAGCCAUGCCGCGUGCGGGAAGAAGGCCUUCGGGGUGUAAACCGCUUUUGUUCGGGAAGAAAUCCUCUGGGCUAAUACCCCGGGGGGAUGACGGUACCGGAAGAAUAAGCACCGGCUAACUACGUG